rnacentral:rRNA from 1 species
GGGGAAUAUUGCACAAUGGGGGAAACCCUGAUGCAGCGACGCCGCGUGGAGGAAGAAGGUCUUCGGAUUGUAAACUCCUGUUGUUGAGGAAGAUAAUGACGGUACUCAACAAGGAAGUGACGGCUAACUACGUGCCAGCAGCCGCGGUAAAACGUAGGUCACAAGCGUUGUCCGGAAUUACUGGGUGUAAAGGGAGCGCAGGCGGGCGAUCAAGUUGGAAGUGAAAUCCAUGGGCUCAACCCAUGAACUGCUUUCAAAACUGAUUGUCUUGAGUAGUGCAGAGGUAGGCGGAAUUCCCGGUGUAGCGGUGGAAUGCGUAGAUAUCGGGAGGAACACCAGUGGCGAAGGCGGCCUACUGGGCACCAACUGACGCUGAGGCUCGAAAGUGUGGGUAGCAAACAGGAUUAGAUACCCUGGUAGUCCACACCGUAAACGAUGAUUACUAGGUGUUGGAGGAUUGACCCCUUCAGUGCCGCAGUUAACACAAUAAGUAAUCCACCUGGGGAGUACGACCGCAAGGUUGAAACUCAAAGGAAUUGACGGGGGCCCGCACAAGCAGUGGAGUAUGUGGUUUAAUUCGACGCAACGCGAAGAACCUUACCAAGUCUUGACAUCCCUUGACGAUGCUGGAAACAGCAUUUCUCUUCGGAGCAAGGAGACAGGUGGUGCAUGGUUGUCGUCAGCUCGUGUCGUGAGAUGUUGGGUUAAGUCCCGCAACGAGCGCAACCCUUAUGGUCAGUUACUACGCAAGAGGACUCUGGCCAGACUGCCGUUGACAAAACGGAGGAAGGUGGGGAUGACGUCAAAUCAUCAUGCCCUUUAUGACUUGGGCUACACACGUACUACAAUGGCGUUAAACAAAGAGAAGCAAGACCGCGAGGUGGAGCAAAACUCAGAAACAACGUCCCAGUUCGGACUGCAGGCUGCAACUCGCCUGCACGAAGUCGGAAUUGCUAGUAAUCGUGGAUCAGCAUGCCACGGUGAAUACGUUCCCG